AUACGUAGGGGGCGAGCGUUGUCCGGAAUGAUUGGGCGUAAAGGGCGCGUAGGCGGCGCGGUAAGUCUGGAGUGAGAGUCCUGCUUUCAAGGUGGGAAUUGCUUUGGAUACUGCCGCGCUUGAGUGCAGGAGAGGUUAUCGGAAUUCCCGGUGUAGCGGUGAAAUGCGUAGAGAUCGGGAGGAACACCAGUGGCGAAGGCGGGUAACUGGACUGCAACUGACGCUGAGGCGCGAAAGUGUGGGGAGCAAACAGGAUUAGAUACCCUGGUAGUCCACACUGUAAACGAUGAAUGCUAGGUGUAAGAGGUAUCGACCCCUUUUGUGCCGGAGUCAACACAAUAAGCAUUCCGCCUGGGGAGUACGGCCGCAAGGUUGAAACUCAAAGGAAUUGACGGGG
rnacentral:rRNA from 1 species